UUGGUGGGGUGUGACGUCUGACGUACACGUAGGAAAAAUACAAUACUUCCAGAUUUUCUGUAUUUAAAUUAGGUUUAUGAAAUUAUGCUGAGAUAAUAGCUGUUUCGCUACAAAUAUAAUCAUGAAAGUAUAGAGAAGUAGCACUAAAAGCCUCAAACUGCCUUAGCAAUUUUUAUCGAUCUUUCUGUUUCAUGGUGUGUGAUUUAAGUGUUAUCAGUGAUGUCGUGGUUAAGAAAAAGGGGUCAAAACAGCACCCCAAACCCCGGAUAUAUGGGACAACCUUCAGAGCCUGUGCCUAUGUUCAACCCAAAUCAGACAUUUUCCACAGAGAAUGUUUCACCUUUUUAUGCCUACACCGAAAAUAGGGAAAUUAUCAGGAAUAGCAGCCCCAAUUUGAUCCAGUUGCAAGAAAUGCCAUACAUUCCUCCCCAAACGUUUGCAUCCCAAGCAACAACCCCUCUGAUACCUCAGGAAGACAUAACCAAUCCAUUUAAAAGAGCGCAGUUGCAGACUACUAACAACUCCAUGACAUCCAGUCAGUUCAUGCAAGGUGUUAAUCCUCAGAACGAGUAUCCUCCCCGACAGCAUGCUUAUUCCCAGCAUUUCAGUCAGUCGGUCAAUUUAGAAACACCGCCCGAAAACUCUGAACAGCCAGAUUUUAUCACAAAUUCAGCUGUUGCUAAAGCUUAUAACGCGCCGAAUCUACCACAGAGGCCCAGCCCUUUUCAGAACUGGCAAGACAACAACGAGACGGUCAUAAACGACCGAAACCAGUACUUGGAAACUGGACAGCUGUCCGAUCCCAACCAACUGGGCUACCUUCAAGAAACCGAGGUCGUAGACCAGAGGCCUCAGCAGGAGGACGCCCUGCCCCCUCCCGGUCUCAGAAGGAUGGUUUUGGGCCAGAUGGAACAUCAGGAGAACGGCGGCAACGUGGAGAACUUCAACGACGAACCGCCGCCCGGUCUGAGCAGGAUGGUGCUGGGCCAAAACGAGCAGAACGAGGAAAACGCGGGGGUUUCAGAGAAUUCGGACGUCGGCGUCGUUGACGACGACGUCAUCAAUUCACUCGAAUCCAAGUUCGGGCCAUGUUUAAGACCCUUCGGAGGUCUACGCAGGAUGGUGCCCGGAAAGUCGAGCCCCCCCGAGAACGCCACCAGGCAAGUCCUCUACCAUUCGAUGAUCCUGGGAGACUCCGAGCCGGAAUUCGGCGGGGUGAGAUCGGCCACGAUAGGUGCGGACACUCCUCCCGCCACCUCAGCGCCCCCGGGUAAUACGGCUCAGCCUCCCGUUGGGGCCGCCGACAGGUCGGAGACGAUCGGGGCGGCCGACGAAGAGGGGGAGCCCAGAGGUAGUAGCAACUCGCCGACGAACGCCGACGGCAAAAAAACCAUGAGGACCAGGGACAAGUCUUUCGAGAAUCAGAUCGACGACCACGCCGGGGGCGGUGGUCAGCAUGCGGAUUUGGAAAUAGGGUCGAUUGCGGCCAUCAUUCGGAACCUGACAGUCGGCAAGACGGAGGAGACUAACGACGUGGCCGUAAAACCCGAGCCCAGGAGGAAGGCGAGACGACAGGAUUCUUCGGAGAGCGAGGCGGAGCAGAGGAGCAAGACGCCCCUUAGGGAGAGGAAAGAUAGGAGGUAUAAGGGAGAAAGGAGGGAUGAUAGGAGGGAAAGGGAUCACGUCUCGCCGGAUACGUCGAGGGACAAACGUUACGACAGGCGCAAACAUCGCAAUAGGCAUUACGACGUAUUCGAAGAGUAUCCUAGUGUAGGGAAGGAGCUAGUGAGGAUACGAGAUGAAUUAGAACGAAAUUCAAGGUAUAGAAAACCAAAAGCCAAAAGCGAAUACCCUUGGGACGUAGACGAUAGGAUCAAAUACCCUGAUUACAAAGAGGAAAGUUCCAGUAGACCUUCCAGCAGGUCCGAUUCCAUGCAAGAUUCGAUGUACAGGGGCAGUCGAAGGUCCGACAAAGACCCGAAAGACCGGCGGAGGGACAGACCCAGGGAGCGAGAAAGGGAAAAGGAUAGAAGGCCUAGGGAUCCCUAUAACCCCUACAACAUGCCUGCUUACGGUGGUUACGAUCCUUACAACCCGUACUACCAACAGUACCAGUACCAGUACUACGAGAAUUUGCGCAGGACUAACCCGCAAGCGUACGCAGAAAUCUACAGGAAAUAUUACGAACAGCACGCUGGCAGGCAUCAAACAGGUUAUAGGCCCGACGAUCGGUCUUCAGUGCACUCUGGUAGGAGUUCGGUUAACGGUGAUAUUACUAAAGACAGGUUUACCAGGCAGAGCUAUUAUAGUCACGCAAGCGUGCCAUACAUGGCAGAUUACUACGCCAGAGAAUCGCAAACGAAUAGUAUAUCGGGUCACUACGACCUGGACGAGUCUAGUUACUCCAGGCACAAGGAUCAAACGGAUUCCUUCGCGCUGGAUAGAUCGUCGGCGAAAACCGGCAGAACGACGCCCGCGAAGUUCAUUGCCGCCCACACAAAGGCGUCCAUAGCCUCCGGCGUGGUGGUUAAAGUGCUGCCGAACUACCCGCAAGACGGCCAGCCGGCCCUGGUGGAGUUGGCCAGCCUGGAGGCCUAUCUGCAGAACGACGACGAGUACAAGGAGCUGUCCAAUUACCCCGGACCGCUGGCGAAGGGCGUCACGCACAAGAAGACGGUGAUCGAGUUUUGCGAGAACAAGAUCAAGAGCGUCAAAUUGGACGUUUGCGAUCCGGAUUCGUACGUCCUGAUGUGGGAAUUGCUGAUUUUGCUGCUGAGGCAGAAUGGGAAAGUGGUCGGUACGGACAUAGCCGAAUUGCUCCUGAAGAACAAGACGGAAAGCCUACCCGCACGACCUUCGUCCGUUCUCUCCAACAUAAGCAGUACCGCGGGAGACGCGCAGGCUACAUCGGAGGCCAGCCUACCCCAGGUCUCCGACGGUGGCAAUUUCAGUUCAAUGUCUUCGCUGAAGGAGGAAGAGAUCACCAACAAAUUCAGGGAAUACCUGCUGUACGGUUCGGAGCAAGAGGCCCUAGAAUGGGCCAUGAAGCACGGUCUAUGGGGACACGCACUCUUCCUGGCUAGUAAAUUGGGCAAGAGGACCCAUUCGAACGUGAUGGUCAGGUUCGCCAAUGGGUUGACGAUGAACGAUCCUCUUCAAACCCUUUACCAGCUGUUGUCCGGAAGGAUACCUUCAGCCGUCAGCUGCGUGGCCGACGACAAAUGGGGCGAUUGGAGGCCCCAUCUCGCCAUGAUGCUCUCGAACUCCUCCCUCCAGCCGGAGCUGAACCGCAAGGCGAUCGCCGCCAUGGGCGACACCCUGAUGGCCAGGGGCAGCCUGUACGCCGCCCAGUUCUGCUACCUGAUGGCCGAGGUCGGCUUCGGCCGUUACGGCACCGCCGGCGUGAAGAUGGUGCUGCUCGGCGCGAACCACAACAAGCCUUUCGUCCAUUUCGCCACAAACGAGGCGGUUCACAUGACCGAGAUCUACGAGUACGCGUGCAGCCUGAACGAUCCGGAGUUCACGCUGCCAGAGUUGCAGGUUUACAAGUACCUACUGGCGACAAGGCUGGUCGAUCGGGGACUGUUGCAGAAGUCGCUCGCCUACCUCGAAAGGGUCGCCCUGUACAUAACGAACAAUCCAUCUAACGUGCAAUCUAGUCUAGUGAACAACGUGUGCAAUUUGGCGGACAGGUUGAAGUAUUACGAUCCCGUCAGCGUGGAAGAAGAAGAAGAGGACAACGCCGAACAGUUCUAUGACAACAGGUUGGACAACACGUGGUUGAAGAGUCUGAAGAUCUUGCUGGAUAACAUCAACUCGGGUCGGACGUCUUACGGUGGCAACGAUAUGACUUUGACAGAUACCAUCAAAUCCGGCCUAUACGACAGCACUCUAGACCCCGCACGUCAAUCCGCCUGGAGUCACACGCAGGUAUAUCCAGAGCAGUAUCAAAGUGAACCCGCGCAGACGCCUUGGCAGUCCGAUCAGCAGGCUCAGCUUGAUCCAUCUGUGGAUAGUUACCAGCAAGUGGAUCAGCAACAACUGGAGGGUUUCACGUCUUAUCCGGACCAACAAGCUUAUUGGUCUAAUCAGCAGCAGUGGGAUGCGGGUGCUAAUCUGCAGAGUACCGACAGUUUGGAGCAGGAUCAGCAGAAUUACUAUGGGUCGAUGAAUACUCAGAGCGAGUCAGGCACGGUGCAAAAUAACGCAACAGAAGAGGAGGCAAAACCUCAAAUAUCGAUCCCGGGGCAGAACAAGGGAAGAUCGAUCUUCGACGACGACCAACCGCUUCCACACGAGAGGGCGCUGAAAGACAAGCAGCAACCGGUCAAGUCGGAACCCGCCAAGCCGAAGGAGACCAGUUCGGGCUGGUUCGGCGGGAUUUUCAGCAAGUUGGCGCUGAAACCCAAGAACCAGAUGAAGCUGCCGGACGAUAAGAAUCCGAGCAUCGUGUGGGACGAGGACAAGAAGAGAUGGGUGAACGUCGACGAAGACAACAACCCGACAACGAACGAGGUCAAGCCUCCGCCCAAAAUGUCGGAUCUCAUGCCCACCGUACCUAAACCCCAAACACCCCAACCCGGCAAUAUCAACAACAACAAUAACAUGAUGCCUCAAGGUUACGCCAAUCCGAUGUCUUACAACCAGAACAACAACAUGAACGUUUCGUCGCAACAGCUUCCGUCGAUCAACAAUUCUCAGCAGACGCAGCCCGGCAUUCCUACCCAAGAUGGCGCCACCCAACCAUCGAACAUAUUCAAGCUACAGAAGAGUAGAAAUUUGAAGAAGUCGUACAUCGACGUUUUUAACCCUGGCGGUACGGGGGCCAAACCAGCGUUGCCAUCGUUUCCAGUGUUUCAAGUACCCGUUGCUAACAGCAACCCCCAGUUGAAUUUGCUCGUUCCCCAUCCAUUGACCGAUCCCAACGCAGCCACGAAUUUUUUAACCCAGGGGAAUCCCGUAAUACGACCGCAGUACGAUGAAUCGGCGCAGUUAUCUAGAUGGAGUUCGGCUAGUUCGCUAUCGAGGGAGGUUCAGUACUAUAUGCGGCAAAAGCCGCAACCGCAUCGACCGAUGCGGUAGCUUAGACGCACGCCCCUGCUUCUUCUUUUUCACCUACCACACACGGUAUGGCUUGUUGCACGUUCCCAUACAUCGCAUUCGGUUAUGGGGCGUCGUUGAGUUUCAAGGUGAUGGAGGAUUAGCACAAGAUUCGAACCUGUUAAGCACUCUGUACAGAACUGAUUUGGGUAUCUAGGUAAACUUUCAAUUUUAAAAUGUAAUGGCUAAAUAAUUGUUCUGUUGAGAUUGUUAUAUUUAUUUUUUAAAGUUCUAUGGAUCCUGUGAUCAUGUACCUACAAUUUGAGUAAUGGUAGUUUAUAAAUAUUUCAUUAUACAUAUUGAAGACAAUAUUGAAUCCAUGCUAUCGUAAGGGAAUAAAAGAAUUACAACUC